rnacentral:rRNA from 1 species
CCUACGGGUGGCAGCAGUGAGGAAUAUUGGUCAAUGGACGAGAGUCUGAACCAGCCAAGUAGCGUGAAGGAUGACUGCCCUAUGGGUUGUAAACUUCUUUUAUAUGGGAAUAAAAUGUUCCACGUGUGGGAUUUUGUAUGUACCAUAUGAAUAAGGAUCGGCUAACUCCGUGCCAGCAGCCGCGGUAAUACGGAGGAUCCGAGCGUUAUCCGGAUUUAUUGGGUUUAAAGGGAGCGUAGGUGGAUUGUUAAGUCAGUUGUGAAAGUUUGCGGCUCAACCGUAAAAUUGCAGUUGAGACUGGCAGUCUUGAGUACAGUAGAGGUGGGCGGAAUUCGUGGUGUAGCGGUGAAAUGCUUAGAUAUCACGAAGAACUCCGAUUGCGAAGGCAGUUCACUGGACUGCAACUGACACUGAGGCUCGAAAGUGUGGGUAUCAAACAGGAGUAGAUACCCGGGUAGUC